rfam:Trichobilharzia regenti genome assembly, scaffold: TRE_scaffold0036262
AGUUGGCUGACGAGUCCCAAAUAGGACGAAAUGCGCGUUAUCCUGGAU